rnacentral:rRNA from 1 species
AGUCGGGAAUUUUGCGCAAUGGACGAAAGUCUGACGCAGCAACGCCGCGUGAGGGAUGAAGGCCUUCGGGUUGUAAACCUCUUUUGUCAGGGACGAUGAUGACGGUACCUGACGAAUAAGCCACGGCUAACUACGUGCCAGCAGCCGCGGUAAUACGUAGGUGGCAAGCGUUGUCCGGAUUUACUGGGCGUAAAGAGCGCGCAGGCGGUCGUUCAAGUCGCGUGUGAAAGCCCCCGGCUCAACUGGGGAGGGUCACGCGAUACUGCUCGACUCGAAGGCAGGAGAGGGAAGUGGAAUUCCCGGUGUAGUGGUGAAAUGCGUAGAUAUCGGGAGGAACACCAGUGGCGAAGGCGACUUCCUGGCCUGUUCUUGACGCUGAGGCGCGAAAGCUAGGGUAGCAAA